CUGAAGAGAACGGGAGACAGGUCUCUCCUUCUAGUGAAAGGCAGUGGAAUGUGACGUGGAUAUUCAUCACCUGCGUUUCAAAUGCAGCAGAAAAAGGAAUGAAGGCUUCUGUCGUGGCAUCUGGCCUUAUCGCCUCUUUGUUCUAGAUAUGCUAUCAAAUUCAAGAAUUCAGCCCAGUUAUUAAGGGGAUACUGG
rnacentral:lncRNA from 1 species